GGUUUGGCUCAGCGGAUAGAGCGUCGGCCUGCCAACCGAAGGGUCCUGGGUUCGAUUCCCGGCCA
rnacentral:tRNA from 1 species